rnacentral:rRNA from 1 species
CCUACGGGAGGCAGCAGUGGCGAAUAUUGGGCAAUGGGGGAAACCCUGACCCAGCAACGCCGCGUGAAGGAAGAAGGUCUUCGGAUUGUAAACUUCUUUUAUGAGGGACGAAGGACGUGACGGUACCUCAUGAAUAAGCCACGGCUAACUACGUGCCAGCAGCCGCGGUAAU